UACCACAACUAUCCACGUGGCAGAUUGUGAAUCUAUAUGAAAUUUACAAACAACCAGUCACAGUUUAACACGUAAGAUAGUUGUGGUAUUACGUAUAGCUAUUCCAAGAAGUUUGAAAAAGCCUCUGCCACUUCUUCUACCUUAAAAAGGGACACGUUGCUGGUCUCCUUAAACUUUGUGUGCCAUUUGUCAGCAAAAGAAGAACCAUGAAGAAGUCAAAUUGCCACUUCAACUUCAUUCUUUGCCAUAUGUUGAUCUUACUAUUUGUGCCCAACAAUGCCAUGUACGUGUAAGAUUUUCCGAAAAUCUUAUACGUGUGCCAGUUGGCAUGAGACAUGCAAGGCCUAGGAAUUGCACUAUAUAAAGGAAAGCACUGUUGCAAGGAAGAUAUACAAACUGAAGACUACUGUACCUUAACUAGCGCUAUAGCAAGUAAUUCAAUUGAAAGGUGUUGUGAAAGAAUGGCAGAUAUUCGAGGAGUUUCAGGCAUGGGUUGUAAUGACAAGUGUGGAUGCACUGUACCAUGCCCCGGUGGUGUUUCCUGCAGGUGUAGUAGCAAGGAUUCAACCGCGAGUGGGGGUGAACACAAGACAUGCACCUGUGGCCAGCACUGUGGGUGCAACCCAUGCUCAUGCCCAGAGAGUGCAGCGGCUGGUGGGACUGGCAGGGGCUCAUGCAAGUGUGGUGCUGGUUGCUCGUGUUCAACUUGCCAAGCCUGAUUUGGAGAACUAUAAUUAAAAUAUUAUCUACUCUGUGAUAGGCUUUUUGGUUUAUUAUGCAGCUUUAGACUAUUAAAAAAGCCUCAUCAUCUAUGUGAUGAAUUGUUAACUAAUGUUGAUUUGUGUAUGGCUUUUCAAGAAUAAUUAAGAAUAAAUGGCAACCUCUAGUUGUGUAUUUAAUUAUUUCUACUAUAUAUGCUAUGGAAUGUUCUUCUGCUC